rnacentral:rRNA from 1 species
GAUGAACGCUGGCGGCGUGCCUAAUACAUGCAAGUCGAGCGAACGGACGAGAAGCUUGCUUCUCUGAUGUUAGCGGCGGACGGGUGAGUAACACGUGGAUAACCUACCUAUAAGACUGGGAUAACUUCGGGAAACCGGAGCUAAUACCGGAUAAUAUUUUGAACCGCAUGGUUCAAAAGUGAAAGACGGUCUUGCUGUCACUUAUAGAUGGAUCCGCGCUGCAUUAGCUAGUUGGUAAGGUAACGGCUUACCAAGGCAACGAUGCAUAGCCGACCUGAGAGGGUGAUCGGCCACACUGGAACUGAGACACGUUCCAGACUCCUACGAGAGGCAGCAGUAGGGAAUCAUCCGCAAUGGGCGAAAGCCUGACGGAGCAGCGCCGCGUGAGUGAUGAAGGUCUUCGGAUCGUAAAACUCUGUUAUUAGGGAAGAACAUAUGUGUAAGUAACUGUGCACAUCUUGACGGUACCUAGUCAGAAAGCCACGGCUAACUACGUG